UGGCAGUGCUAAAAAAACCUGGGGACAAAUGGCUAAGCGGCGGUGGAAGUGCAGGCUGCACAAUCAAUAGGCAGAGAGCUGGAUAGAGGCUCCCUUCGCUGCCGGAUCGACAAUCGACAGCUGAGAGACUAUUUUUUGCAAUGGUUGACUAAAUAUGGUCAGGGAAGAGAGAGGCACAAGAGAGCCUGUUUGCCUGGGAGUGCAUGUUUCAAAUGCUUAGCUGCCUAUAAAGCCGUAACAGUUUUGCUCGUGCCCUCUAAGUGGGAAAUACGGUUGGUGACUUCUGUAGUGUGUGUGCGGGAGCCCUGACCUCGCAAGCAGACUUGACCUCUGAAGAUGGAAAGUAGCUUCAACACAGACCUGCCUACAGUUAAGCCUGGAAACAUAACCUCAAGCAAGAAAAGAUGCAGUGCAAUAUCUAAGGAACUAGAAGAAACCAAUAUUUGCCGGGGGAGGGGGGAGACGAUCGCUAUUUUUUUGGUGCUUUUUUCUAAUUUUUUUUUUUUGGAAGCAACUCCAACUUUUGGGGGCUUGGUUUUGGUCUUUUGUUGGGUUUUUAUUUUCCUUUGUGCCUGUGAUUAUCUUCAUCUGACAGUGGGCUAAGUUCACCUUCCCUUGGCUUCCUAGCAUCUAUCCUUGGAGUCUUAACUCUCAGUCCAGCAGACAUAAGUUUUAUCUAUUUAAGGUGGUGAGGUACUGUAUGCACCGACAUUCGCCCCCCCUUGCCUCCCCCUCCCAUGUAACGAAGAGCUGAUUCAGCGAAUAGAGUGAGAGCACUCAGGAUGAGAUGGCUGCUGCUGAUGUGUCUCUAGGUCAUUACCUCUCUUCCAACUGCAAAUGCUGCAUGAUACUAAGCUUACAGGACACUAGAUGCAAACUGUACCCCAGCAUGAAAAUCUGCUAGAAGACCUGGGAGGAAGCUGAAGUUUUUACAGUGGACUACAACUACAAAUUCUAAGAAAAGACAUUACAAACCUACCAGCAAUUCAACUCUCUACUUAAACAUGGUCACUUAGAAGAGCAAGAGGCGGCAAAAAUAUGGAAAAGCACUUCUAACAUCAGUGCCAUCCCAAACCAAUGAACUAUGCCCAGCUUUAAGACACUGUGCAGGUAAAUUGCAUUGCAAAGUUUAGUUAGCAUAGUAAGUUUAUUUUCUACCAUCAGUUUAUCAGAACUGUUGACCUUCCAGAGAACUGUCAGCCAGUUUUACCUAAUGACAGCAAGAAAAAGCAGCAAAAUACUUUUUAGGUUCAUCUGACAGGCAGUCAAGCAACUCUGUGUGUACCUGCUCAGAGCACAUACUUCUUUAUGUACCCAUAUGAACAUACAAUGCUAUGGAAUGUAAAGAAGUAUGUAUUUUUGGCAGGCAAGGAACGACCAGUAAGAGGAAACUAAACAGCUGCUGGAAGAAACAGGUUUCCCUCUUGUUUGAAUGACAUUCAUGUGACAAAUUGGCUUGCUAAGGGUCAGCUGGUAUUGCCAAAAUAACUCAUACUUGUUAGCAGCAAAUCAGAAAACAUUAAAUUAAGUGACUAUAAAAGUGGCUAGGAAGAAUUGUUAACAGCUGAUAAGCAGAAAAUUAGCUGCAAACAGAAUUCAAAGCAAGGCUGGAAAUGAAACCUUGAAAUGCACCAAUUAAGACUGCAGCAUAGCUGCAAAAUUCAUCAUUACCCCUACUCCUCACUUCACAGAUCUUAAACUAAACUUAAAAGCCUAGUUAUCAAAAUGCAUCUCAUAAAAACAAGCCACUGUUCUAGUAAUCACAGCAGCCUGUUCUGUGUAGUUCAGAUGGUAGUACUUAAAUCUGCAUCUACCAUAGAACAUUUAAUCCACAGGUUGCAACUGAGACGAGUAUUAACAGCUAAGAAAUUAUAGUGUGAUCUACAAAAAAUGACAGCCAAAAUAAUUGAGUAUAACUUCUGCAAUUUAAUAAGACUUAAGUUAGAGUUUUCUCCAAAUCAGCACUUAUUAUGCUCACUGAGCUCUUCGAUACAAAGUGCAGUGUCAGGUUUAUGCACAGAAAGUAACAAUACAGAGAUUUCUAGGCCAUAGUCGCUAGUCAGCGGAUUAAAGCUAUUGACAGAUUCCUAAAUGAAAACACAAAUUACAACUACAGCCUAAAAGGUACAUUAUCUUAAAUAGUAUUUUCAAAUUAGCUGAACUUAUUUUAAAUCCAAAUUUAAGAAAAUAGGCCAUAAAAAAAUUUUUUAAGAACUACAUGAGAAAUAGUCCCGCAAUAGUUUCAAGUCCUAAAAUUGAUAUUAAUAAAAAUACAUUGAUGCAUACCAUCCCUAAGUAAAGAUAUUCAACAUCAAAUCCAGGAACAAGGGAAAAACGUGAGGAAAGAACUCCCCACUCAUCAAUCCAGCCAUUUCUAUUCAUGACAGCAGCCUUCUAAAAGCAGUUAUUAAAUAGGAUAUAUCCACGAUAAAUAGGCACAUUUGUCCUAGAAUAAAGAUUCUAACUGUAGCCCUUUGCUUACUAAAAUGUCUGUGAGGAAAAAAAUGCCAACCAAAACAAACAAGAAAAAAAAACAAAGGCAAUAUCCGAUUUUUAGAUGGAGAACUUAUUUUUAAAUACUCACAUAAUUCUCAAACAGCUAAUAAUAUACACAGCCUGAUAUUUUUAACACCUGAGACUACAUAUUAAUAUAUAUAUAUAUAUACAAGCAGAAAUAUUACCUUACCUGCUUAAGAAAGCAAAGUUUCAAUACUUUUGUUAAAGCUCUCUUACAAGCAGAUAUUUUGACACUAAGGCUACAGUAUCUUAACAUCUAAAUUAAAACGUGGGAAACAAAUCAAAUUGCAGUAGCUUUUCUGAAUAAAGCAAGGCUACUAAACUCAAUCAUGCUCUCAGAAGCAAUUUGGCAUAACUAGCAGUUUCACUGAGGGGUUAAUUGCUAAGCAUUUUCUUCUUUUCCUGAUGAGUUCCUGUGCUCAGUACCAAUUGAUUUAGCUUCUUCUAUAAAAUGGGACAGAUUUUUUUAACAGCUUUAAUUUAUCCGAGAGGUUUUUGGUAACAAUUUAUCAUACUGCGUUCUCCCUUGUAUAACAUUGCAAUAUUUUUCUGACACAAAAUGACAGUUCAGAGUGAUACAAAAGUUAAAAUUAUAUGUUGACAUAGCUUCCUGCUAGUUCAUGUUAGCAUAUCUCUAAGAAUACAUACCCAGUCACUCUAAAAUGUCACAUCCAUCACUUAGAUCAGCUGUUCAAUUUUAACCGAGCACACGUUGAACUUUGGGCAUCUGCUGACACAGUUGUAACUCAAACAUUUCAACUGUGUGACUGACAGGGAUAACAGAUGCUGACAUUAUCAAAUGCUACACGGCUUUUUUUCCACAGCCGUUUUUUGUCCCGAUAUGGCCAGUACAUGAAACUGUAUUGCCAUCCAAAAGCGCACUUGAGCAGCUGUAUCUGUAAAACAGUUCCUCUAUAACUGGUAAAAAUAGAAACUCAUUUUAUAGCCGUCUUGAUGCUUAAGUCCAAGUGACACACCUGCUACGUUUCUAUUAGGAUACAUAGUGUUGGGGAAUAUAUUUACAUAAAUCUUCUCACCAUCAUCAGACUAUGCAAUAAACACACAUCAACUAUCCUUGACAUACUCAUUUCUAGAGAAUAGUUUGAACUAAGGUUGUUCCCUAAUUUCCACUGCAGUCAAAGCUCAGAAAGAAUUCAGUAUGACAUAAAAAAAAGCUUUGUGAGCUUGCACAAUUUUGUAUUAAGGACUUUAGUUGAGAAGAAAUCAGAUGCAAGCCCAGAUAAAUCUUUAAAAGCUGUUUUUUUCUGGCAUUAAAUGUUUUUACAUAUGCUAUCAAGGUAAAAAAUUAAAUUUAUUCUGCUAUAUUAUAUAAUCAUUCCUAAAAAGUUACUACUAACAAGAGAUAUAGCAAUGGAAUUGAAAGCACUUGGCAUUUAUAUUUGUGCUAACCAACUACAGCAUAAAAGCAGCUGCAAAAGGGAACCUGCCAGAAAAUGAAUGAGGGGAAGGGGGGGAGGAGGGUGACAAGAAACUGAAAUGUUCUUCCCCAGUAAAGUUUAACAUAAAGGAGUAAGGGAGCUCUAUCUAUUUCUGAUGGAAGCUUUAAGACUACAGUUUCUAACCUAUUCUAAAAUUUGAUUACACUAGACAGGAAAAAGUUUAAACUGUAACUAUGAUUUGAUUUGCAACUCAUCCAAAGAUCCUCAAGGAAAUACUCAAGGACAGAACAAAUCUGUACAGGCCUUUCUGUUAUACAGCUUUUAAUUGUGCCAUCUCCAAAUUAGGAAAGAGUUAAAAAUUUGCAUUGACGAGAAACAAAUUGUGUAACACAGAAGAAAGCCUCGUGUUCUUUGUGCACUGCUCACGUGCUUUAAAAUGUGUUACUGAAUUAUAAGCUUCCUGCACUCCAAUGCUUUGCUAAAGCUGGUAAAAUGGAACCAAAUCACCUCUUCAAUGGAUUUGGUCCCCUUCAACCAGCUGUAGCUAUGCAUUGAUCACUACAGGAUUUCUCAAGCUGUUAAAACUGGACAUGAAACCUGCUCAGAGCAAUUAUGUACUCCUCUCUUCAGUCCAGCUCAACUUCUAGGCAGCCUGAAGAUAGAAGGUAACCAGGAGUGUAACAAAUUCUGUAUUCCAAAAUUUCAAGUGUGUAUUUGUAAAUAAAUAGCUGCUGGUGUUUAACAUUUUGUCCACAUGCAGUAAAAAUCAUCUCUUACAGCAUUUAUAAAGAAGAUAGGUAAGCAGUGAAAUAAACACUUCCCAAUGA